AAGUCGUUAGUAAAAUACAUUACAUAAUCUUGUCAAGAUUAAAUUAUAGACUAAAACCCCUUACGACUUA
rnacentral:tRNA from 1 species